rnacentral:rRNA from 1 species
CGAGUGAAGCGGCAACAGCUCAAAUUUGAAAUCUGGCGCUUGCGUCCGAGUUGUAAUUUGUAGAGGAUGCUUUUAGGCAGCCACCGGUCUAAGUUCCUUGGAACAGGACGUCAUAGAGGGUGAGAAUCCCGUAUGUGACCGGAAAGGCACCUUCUGUAAAGCUCCUUCGACGAGUCGAGUUGUUUGGGAAUGCAGCUCUAAAUGGGAGGUAAAUUUCUUCUAAAGCUAAAUACCGGCGAGAGACCGAUAGCGCACAAGUAGAGUGAUCGAAAGAUGAAAAGCACUUUGGAAAGAGAGUUAAAAAGCACGUGAAAUUGUUGAAAGGGAAGCGCUUGCAAUCAGACUUGUCCUCGGGUGUUCCGCCGGUCUUCUGACCGGUCUACUCAUUCGGGGACAGGCCAGCAUCACUUUUGGCGGCCGGAUAAAGGCAUUGGGAAUGUAGCUCAACCUUCGGGGGGAGUGUUAUAGCUCAGUGUGUAAUACGGCCAGCUGGGAGUGAGGUCCGCGCUUCGGCUAGGAUGCUGGCGUAAUGGUUGUAAGCGGCCCGUCUUGAAACACGGACCAA